rnacentral:rRNA from 1 species
UCCGUAGGUGGAUAAUUAAGUCAGUGGUGAAAUCCUGCGGCUCAACCGUAGAACUGCCAUUGAUACUGAUGUUCUUGAAUAUAGUUGAGGUAGGCGGAAUGUGUAAUGUAGCGGUGAAAUGCUUAGAUAUUACACAGAACACCGAUUGCGAAGGCAGCUUACUAAACUAUUAUUGACGCUGAUGUACGAAAGCGUGGGGAGCGAACAGGAUUAGAUACCCUGGUAGUCC